CAGUAGCCACGGGAAUACGAAGGGUGCAAGCGUUACUCGGAAUUACUGGGCGUAAAGCGUGCGUAGGUGGUGGUUUAAGUCCGUUGUGAAAGCCCUGGGCUCAACCUGGGAAUUGCAGUGGAUACUGGGUCACUAGAGUGUGGUAGAGGAUAGUGGAAUUUCCGGUGUAGCGGUGAAAUGCGUAGAGAUCGGGAGGAACAUCAGUGGCGAAGGCGGCCAUCUGGGACAACACUGACGCUGAGGCACGAAAGCGUGGGGAGCAAACAGGAUUAGAUACCCCAGUAGUCCCUGUCUCUUAUAA
rnacentral:rRNA from 1 species